rnacentral:rRNA from 1 species
GACGAACGCUGGCGGCGUGCCUAAUACAUGCAAGUUGAGCGCUGAAGGUUGGUACUUGUACCGACUGGAUGAGCAGCGAACGGGUGAGUAACGCGUGGGGAAUCUGCCUUUGAGCGGGGGACAACAUUUGGAAACGAAUGCUAAUACCGCAUAAAAACUUUAAACACAAGUUUUAAGUUUGAAAGAUGCAAUUGCAUCACUCAAAGAUGAUCCCGCGUUGUAUUAGCUAGUUGGUGAGGUAAAGGCUCACCAAGGCGAUGAUACAUAGCCGACCUGAGAGGGUGAUCGGCCACAUUGGGACUGAGACACGGCCCAAACUCCUACGGGAGGCAGCAGUAGGGAAUCUUCGGCAAUGGACGAAAGUCUGACCGAGCAACGCCGCGUGAGUGAAGAAGGUUUUCGGAUCGUAAAACUCUGUUGGUAGAGAAGAACGUUGGUGAGAGUGGAGAGCUCAUCAAGUGACGGUAACUACCCAAAAAGGGACGGCUAACUACGUG